GACGAACGCUGGCGGCGUGGAUUAGGCAUGCAAGUCGAACGGUAUCAUCCUUUCGGGGGUGAGAGAGUGGCGAACUGGUGAGUAACACGUAGGUUAUCUACCCUCAAGACGGGGACAACCCAGGGAAACUUGGGCUAAUACCGGAUGUGAGCAACUUUUAGUUGUUUGAAAGGUGGCGUAAGCUGUCGCUUGGGGAUGAGCCUGCGUCCUAUUAGUUAGUUGGUGAGGUAACGGCUCACCUAGGCAAUGAUAGGUAGGCGGCCUUAACGGGUGGUCGCCCACACUGGGAUUGAGAUACGGCCCAGACUCCUACGGGAGGCAGCAGUCGAGAAUAGGUCUACAAUGGUCGGAAGACUGAUAGUGCGACGCCGCGUGAACGAUGAAUCCCUUCGGGGUGUAAAGUUCUUUUAUAUGUGAGCAGUGCUUCUUAUAUUAACAGUAUGGGGAAGAGAUAUUAGCAUAUGAAUAAGCAACGGCUAACUCCCGUGCCCAGCAGCCGCGGUAAACUCGUA
rnacentral:rRNA from 1 species